AUUGAACGCUGGCGGCAGGCCUAACACAUGCAAGUCGAACGGUAACAGGAAGCAGCUUGCUGCUUUGCUGACGAGUGGCGGACGGGUGAGUAAUGUCUGGGAAACUGCCUGAUGGAGGGGGAUAACUACUGGAAACGGUAGCUAAUACCGCAUAACGUCGCAAGACCAAAGAGGGGGACCUUCGGGCCUCUUGCCAUCGGAUGUGCCCAGAUGGGAUUAGCUAGUAGGUGGGGUAACGGCUCACCUAGGCGACGAUCCCUAGCUGGUCUGAGAGGAUGACCAGCCACACUGGAACUGAGACACGGUCCAGACUCCUACGGGAGGCAGCAGUGGGGAAUAUUGCACAAUGGGCGCAAGCCUGAUGCAGCCAUGCCGCGUGUAUGAAGAAGGCCUUCGGGUUGUAAAGUACUUUCAGCGGGGAGGAAGGGAGUAAAGUUAAUACUUUUGCUCAUUGACGUUACCCGCAGAAGAAGCACCGGCUAACUCCGUG
rnacentral:rRNA from 1 species